GUCUGGUGGUGCCCAGAUAUUUUAUAAACAUUAUUCUGGAUGUAAGCAAAAAGAACAAAACUGGAGGAAUCACAUUACUCGAUUUCCAAUUAUACUACAGAGCUAUAGUAAGCAAAACAGUAUUGUACUGGCAUAAAGUCAGACACAUAGACCAAUGGAACAGAAUAGACAACCCAGAAAUAAAUUCAUAUACCUUCAGUGAACCCAAUUUUGACACAGAUGCCAAGAACAUACACUGGUGAAAGAACAUUCUCUUUAAUAAAUGGUGCUGGGAAAACUGGAUAUCCAUAGGCAAAAGAAUUAAACUAGACCCCUAUCUCUCACCAUAUACAAAAAUCAAAUCAAAAUGGAUUAAAGACUUAAAUCUGAGACUUCAAACUAUGAAAUUCCUACAAGAAAAUGUAGGGGAAUAUCUCCAGAACAUUAUUCUGGGCAAAGAUUUCUUGAGUAAUACACCACAAGCAUAGGCAACCACAGCAAAAAAUGGACAAAUGAGAUCACAUCAAGUUAAAAAGCUUCUGCACAGCAAAUGUAACAAACAACAAAGUGAAGAGACAACCCACAGAAUGAGAGAAAAUAUCUGCAAACUUUCCAUCUGACAAGGGAGUAAUCACCAAAAUAUAUAAGGAGCUCAAGCAACUCUAUAGGAAAAAGUUUAAUAAUCUGAUUUAAAAUGGGCUAAAGAUCUGAAUAGACAAUUCUCAAAAGAAGACAUACAAAUGGCAAACAGGUACAUUAAAAGGUGCUCAAAAUCACUGAUCAUCAGAGAAAUGCGAUCAAAACUACAAUGAGAUGUCAUUUCAUGCCAGUUUUAAAAUGGCUUUUAUUUCAAAGUCAGGCAAUAACAAAUGCUGAUGAGGAUGUGGAGAAAAGGGAACAUUUAGAUGCUGUUGGUGGGAAUGUACAUGAGUGCAGCCACUAUGGAAAAAAGUAUGGAGGUUCCUCAAAAAAACUAAAAUAAAACUGCCAUAUGAUUCAGCAAUCCUGCGGCUGGGUAAAUACCCAAAAGAAAGGAAAUCAGUUUAUCGAAGAGAUAUCUGCACUCCCACAUAGAUUGUAGCACUAUCCAUAACAGUAGCACUAUUCAUAAGAUAGGGAAGCAACCUAAAUGUCCAUCAACAGAUGAAUGGAUAAGAAAAUGUGGUACAUAUACUCAAGGGAGUGCUGCUCAGCCACAAAAAAGAAUGAAAUCCUGUCAUUUGCAACAAUAUGGAUGGAACUGGAGGUCAUUAUGUUAAGUGAAAUAAGCCAGGCACAGAAUGACAAACAUCACACGUUUUCACUUAUUUGUGGGAGCUGAAAAAUAAAACAAUUAAACUCAUGGAGAUAGAGAACAGAAUGAUGGUUAUCAGAGGCUGAGAGUGGUGGGUGGAGUGGGGAUGGUUAAUGGGUACAAAAAUAUAAUUAGAUAGAAUGAAUAAGCUCUAGUAUUUGAUAGCACAACAGGGUGACUACAGUCAAUAAUAAUUUUUAAAUAACACAUUUAAAAAUAACUAUUAUUGGAUUGUCUACAACACAAAGAAAGGAUAAAUGCUUGAGGUGAUGGAUACCCCAUUUACCCGAUGUGAUUAUUAUGCAUUCUAUGCUGGUAUCAAAAUAUUCCAUAUGCUCUAUAAAUAUAUACACUUACUAUGUACCUGCAAAAAUUAAAAAUAAUAAGAAACAAAAACAAAUGAAAAGCAUUAUUCUGGGCAUGUCUGUGAAGGUGUUUCUGGACAAGAUAUAUAUUUGUAUAUGUGCUGCCGAAGCAAGCACUGGUUAAGACAUAUAUUUUAAUCCGUAGACUAAGUAAAACAGAUGGCCCUUCUCAAUGUGGGUGGGCCUCAACCAAUCCAUUGAAGGCCUGAAUAGAACAUAAGGCAAGGUAAGAGAAAAUUUGCCCUCUCUGCCUCACUGAUCAGGCUGGGACAUCAAUCUUCUCUUGCUCUUGGACUGGAACUUACAACAUCAAUUUUCUUGGUUCUCAGGCCUUUGGACUCAGACUAGAACUAUAGCACUGCCUCUCCUGGGUCUCCAGCUUACCAGCUGCAGAUCCUGAGACUUCUCACCCUUCAUAAUUGCAUGAGCCAAUUUCUAAUUUCUUAUAAUAAAUCUCUUUUGACAGACACACACACAGAGACAGACAUACACACAUACACAGUCAUGCAUCACAUAAUGACAUUUAGGUCAGCAGCAGACUGCAUAUAGGACAGUGGUCCCAUAAGAUUAUAAGAUUGUAUUUUUACUAUGCCUUUUCUGCAUUGAGAUAUACAACUAUUUAGCAUUGUGUUACAAUUGCCCACAGGGUUUGGUAAAGUAACAUGUUGUACAGGUUUAUAGUUUAGAAGCAAUAGGCUAUACCAUAUAGUCUAGGCGUGUAGUAGGCUAUACCAUCUAGGUUUGUGUAAGCGCUCUCUAUGAUCUUCAAACAAGGACACCAUCUAACAAUGCCUUUCUCAGAACAUAUCCCCAUCAUUAAGUAAUGCAUGACUCUAUAUACUAUUGCUUAUGUUUUUCUAUGGAGUCCUGAUUAAUCUAAUAUAUAUAAUUUGAUUUUUUUUCUUUUUUGUAAUUUUUCAGAAAUGGAGCACAGACAGCAUGAUGGAAUAUGGAAAAUAUGAAGGUGGAGGGGCAGAGACCAGACUAAGAAAAUAAUUAAGACUUGAUGAAGUCUCGCUCUGCCGCCUAGGCUGGAGUGCAGUGGCAUGAUCUCAGCUCACGGUAACCUCUGCCUCCCGGAUUCAAGCGUUUCUCCUGACUCAGCCUCAUGAGCAGCUGGGAUUACAGGUGCACAACACCACGCCUGGCUAAUUUUUGUAUUUUUAAUAGAGACAGGGUUUUGCCAUGUUGGCCAUGCUGCUCUUGAACUCCUGACCUCAGGUGAUCCACCCACUUCAGCCUCCCAAAGUGCUAGGAUUACAGGCUUGAGCCACUAAGGACAGUAAUAUUUCUGCUGAAAAGGAAGAACUAGAGUUCAGGGAAAAAUAUAAUCAAUGAGAUUGAUCUUCUAGCCUUAGAGAUGGUUGCUUACCUUUUCAAGGAAAUGUUUACAGAACUUCUAGAACAGGCUAAUAUAAAAGGAAAUAAUAUGAUGAGACAGACUAAAGUAAGUUGACUGAAAGCUAGAUUGAUUUUAGGUCUCAGGCUUAAGGUUCAGCAUUGAUCAUAACCAUAUGCAAUUAUAAUUAUGGCCUGUCCCAUUUGAUUUUUGAAACUAUAUUUCUUGCUUCCAGACCUCUAUUUCUGUAGGUUUUUUUUUUUUUUCAAUAAAAGGCAUAUCUGUGUUAAGGAACUGAUGAGUAUUAGCUUCUCUGGGAAAUACAUAUUGUAAUAGGAGCUAAAGUGGUCAACCAAAGUGAUAAAUUUCUAACAGUAGAAUUCUAGGACUCAUGGUGUUUGACCCACUCAGUGUGGUGGCACCUAAAAUCAUCUCACCUAGGUGGCUUCAUAUUUUAUCCACUAGGAGAAUAUCCAGGCUGUAGCAUUGACCAUUUUUAUAGCAUAAUUUGGGUCAGUUACCAACCAUGCAUGCUGUAGCUAUGUUAUGCCAUUUGCCAGGGCCUUCUGGCUUUAAUAACUUCAACUAAUUAACCCCUAUUUGGUGUUAGACAUAUCCUUUCAUGUUGAUUCUCUGGAGUGCAAGAACAAUAAAACUCAGUCAAUAUGGAAAGUUUCUCUACUCUGUGUUUGUCUUGGUCUGUUGAGGCUGCUACAGCAAAAUAUCCCAGACUAGGUAAUUUAUCAACAACAGAAAUUAUAUCUCAUAGUUCUGGAGUCUGGGAAGUCCAAGAUCAAGGAGCCAGCAGAUUCAGUGUCUGGGGAGGGCUUGUUGCUCAUAAUAGCAGCUUCUAUGUGUCUUCACAGAGUGGAAGGGGUGAGGCAACUCCCUUCAACUGUCCAUAAGAGCACUAAUCCCAUUCGACAGCAAAGCCUUUAUGACUUAAUUGCUUCCCAAAGGCCCUAUCUCUUAAUACUAUCAUGUUGGGAAUUAAGUUCUAAUGCAUAAAUUUGUGAGAACACCCAUAUUCAGACCAUAGCAGCAGUCUUUGUAGUUUACUUUCAAAUGUCUGCCUCCCUAAAUGUAAACAUGAACCUAAUGUCAUUUAUUCCUAACAGCAUAACUAAUUAGUUAUACAUUCAUUUUACUUGUACUUAAAAUAUGAUUAAUCUGGUAGAUUUUAAUUAAGGAAAAUUCAUCUCGCACUUGCAAAUUCCAUUGAUUGCUGGAAAUGUCAGCUCACGCAUCUCUGCUGCCACAAAAACUUUAAGACUCUUAGAAUACUUUCAAUUCUUGUGUAAGGAGCAAGCUUAUUUCCUUGUUACAUUUUUCUACUCUUAGUAGAUUCUCUUCUCCAAUGACUUAGAUUUCAGAGAACCCUGAAUCAGGGAUAUAAGGUAAAAACCAUAGUAUUUGCCAUCACAGUUCAGUAUAAGUUUAUUACACUCACUGAUUUGUUUAUUUUAGUAAUUAUAAGCAAAGUUCUGGAAAAUUGCAUUUUGUUAUCUAAUAUUAAGCAAAGAGAAGAAAAUUAGUAUCACUCUUUUUUAGGAGAUUAUUUCAUGAAAUUUAAAUCAAAAAACAAUUUCUAAAUCUUACCAUCAUGAUUUUCUUUUCCUGCUAGGGAAUCUGUUUUUUUGUGGAACAGAAGUAGAACUACAUUUCAAGCCUCAACUAGUUCAAGUCAAUUCUAAAAACAUGGAGCACUUAUUAUGUGUAAGGUACUAUGCAAUACCCUGCAGGGGAUUCAAAGACAAAUAAGAUAAAAUCCCUGCAGCCAACGAAUUUACCAUCUACCAGAGAGAACUAGAAAAGCACAAAAAUAAUAAAGCACACAACUGACUGCAGAGAGCCAUUUGGCUUAAUGGAAAAAGCAUAGUUUUUAUAUCCAAACACAGCUACUUUCAAACCUGGCUCUGACAUUUAUUAAUAGUGUACCUUUGCAUAAAAUACAUAAACAUUUUGAAUGUAGUUUUCUUCUUCUGAAAAACAGAGACGCCAAUAACUGCCCUAAAAUCCUAUUGCAAGGUUUUGGGAGGUAAUAAGUGUAAAGUGCCAAGCAAACAGAUGUUCCAGGUGAGCUUCCCUGUAAAGCAGAUGUAGGAAGUUUACUAGGGUGGGCUCUCAGGAUUGACAGCUGUAGGGGGAAGGAAAGAACCAUGAUCAGACAGAGGGAGAAGGUGGGUCGUGAAGAAGUUUUAAGAAAGCCCACAACUAAUUGCAGAGUGAAAUCUGAAGCUGGAUGGCCCUGUAGCAUUCUCUCAAAUUGGGGUAAAGGGGAUAGGAGUUUAGAGUCCUAUAACUACAGUCACUAGAUGCAGACUUCCUGUGGGAAGGGCAUGUGACCUUGGAAGAGGCAACUCUCUCCAGUGGCAGCUUUGCUCAGUGAAGGGCAGUUGCUGGAUUGGAGAACUGGGUCUCAACACGGGGAGGUCAGCCUUCAGUCCUCCAGCAGCAGGUGAAUGAGAGCCUACGUCUUAAUAGAUGAGGGUAGAGAAGAGAGGAGGAGGAACCUGGGCAACAUAUCAUGUAGUCCAUUUGGAUAUAAAUUAUAAACAAAAUGCACACAUAUGAAAAUUUUGAAAAGAUAGAAAAGUAGAACUUUAAAAAAAUUCGUAUCAACCACAAUCUCACAAAACCAUUAAUAGCAUUUUAAAUGUCUUUCUAAUAUUUUCUAAGCACAUUUAUUUUCCUCUGAAAUAAUGACAUUAUGCUAGAAAAAUUGUUGUAUGUCCUGUUUUAUUUUUCAUAUUGUGAACAUUUUCCCAUGUAAAUAAAUAUUCUUUUAUAAAAUGAUUUUGGUUUUGUUGUCUUCUAUUAUAGAUAUGCUAAGGUUUGCUGAGCCAAAACUAGAUUAUUGGACACAGGUUUUUACAGGUUUUUUUACUUUUACAAAAACAUGUUAUAAUGAGCAAUAUUGCACAUAUCUUUGACUAUUUCCUUAGGAAAAAUUCAUGGAAAUGGAAAUUGCUGCACCAUGGACUAAUUGCAUAUUUAAGGCUUUGACACAUGUUGCCAAAUUAUGCUCUAGAAAUUCCUAUCAAGAAUUUUUGAAACUUUCUCUUCCCUCACCUUGCCAAGAUUGGGAAUUAUCGUUCUUUUUAAUCUGUGCCAAUUUUAAAGACAGUUUUUAUUAUUAAUGAAUACAAAUGCAAUGAGAGUAGCAGAAAUCAGACAGUGUCUCUGAAGAUUCAAAAGUGGAAGAGAUUACAUCAAACCAGGAAGAAUGAGAAAAGACUUCCAAGAAAAGGAGAGAGAUGAUAUAGUUCUUAAGUAAUGGACAAGAGUUCAACAAAUAAAAGUGGAAGGAAUCCCAGGUAGAGAAAACCUCAGGAACAAAGGCAAUAUUAUGAAGCAGUUAACAGUUUGAUUACAGUGGAGGAGAAAAAUACGACUGAAAGUAAAAUGAGACCAUAAUGUAGCCUCAGAAAUGGUAAACAGAGUUCAAAUUUGCCCAAUAAUCAAUAGUGACCUGACUUUCCUGUUAAUAAGCAUUUGAAAGCUAUGAUUAGGUUGAUCCGUUUGUUCAAGAAACCUUUAUUCACCACCCAUAACCUGCCAAGCACGAAAAUCAUUGUUGGGAGCAUAUAGAAAUCCCUGUCAUCCUCAAAUGCAUGGGAAGAAAGCAUAUAGAAAGAGGUCACAACAACAGUAUGUUCACAGAGUGGGAGAAUAAAAAGCUAGAUAAGAAGCAAUGAGAGUGUAAUAGGAAAAAAAAAAAAAACAGGACAGUGAAAUGCCAUGGACAGCAAUGGAGGAGUAUUGACAUAGGUGCAGGGAUCAAUAACGACAAGUAACGCAGAGAAAUUGAGAAUGAUUAAAACUGAGAAAAAAUUAUGCAAUUAGGCAAUUCAGGUAUCAUCAGCAACAUUUUAAAGAAUACUUUUUCUACAGUGUCAGGAAAGAAAGCCAUAUUGCAAGGGAAUAUAGCAGGUGGUAUGAAAAUGGAGAAAACAGACUCUCCAAACAGGUCAUUCAAAAAAUGGACAGUUUAAGAAAUUAGAGUGUCAGGAUUAGAUCAAGAGAGAGGAUUGACGUUAAAGGAAUGUUUUCUUUUUCAGUUAAAUCUUAAGUAUCUAGGAAUAAAUUUAACAAUGACAAGAGGGUUAAAUCUUUGUGGAUUCAAUGAUACAGCAUUCCUGAUGGGCAUAAAAGAACACUGGAAUAGGUGGAGAGGUUAAGAUGUGUGUAGGUGAGAAAAUCCACACUUUUAAAGAUGUGAAUUUCCUCUAAACUAAUGCAUGAAUUCAACACAAUAUCAAACAAAAGUCUCAACAAGAUUUUUCGUGGAACUUUACAAGUCUAUUCUAAAAGUUACACAGAGAAGUAAGUUACAAGAGAAUAUAAGAAAUUUGUGGCUGCUUUGCCUAUUCUUUUAUUCCUCUGCUUUCUUAAUAAACUUGCUAUCAUUUAAAAAAAAAGAAAUUUGUGAAAAAUAAGUAAAUGGGAGAACUUGUUCUACCAGAUAUCAAAACAUUUAAUAAAGCUAUAGUAAUAGUGUAGCAUUGGUGCCAUAUUAGGUAAAUUGUCCAAUCAAAUAGAAUAAACUCACAUAUAAUGGGUAUUGGUCUAUGAGAGGGGUAGCACUGGAAAUAAAUAAAAGAUGGACUAUUAAUAAGGACAAAAUUAAAAUUAGAUUUUUUACAUCAUAGUAUACAGAAAAAAUAAUUUCGGAAAGUUUAAAAAGUAGAGCAAAAAAUUUUUAAAUCUUUAAAAGCAUCAGGAAAAGAUUUAGUUUAGACAGACAUGGUGGCGCAUGCCUGUAAUCCCAGCUACUUGGGAGGUUGAGGCAUGAGAAUAGCUUGAACCCAGGAGGUAGAAGUUGCAGUGACCCAAGAUCGCACCACUGCACUCCAGCGUGGGUGACAGAGUGAGACUCUGUCUCAAAGAAAAAAGAAGAAAGAAGAAACAAAGAGAGAAAGAGAGGAGAGAAAAAGAGAGAGAGAAAGGAAGGAGAAAGAAGGGAAGGAAAAAGGAAGGAAGAAAGGAAAAAGAAAGAAAGAGAGAGAAAGAAAGAAGAGAAAGAAAGAAAAAGAAAGAAAAAGAAAAGAAGGAAAGAAAGAAAAGAAAAGAGGUCUAAUAUUCGUUAAUGACCCCAGGAUAAGGAAGGCCCUGCUAACUAGGAUAAAAACCCAAAAAUGGUAGUGUAAAAAAAAUAGAUAACCUUGAUUAUAUUAAAAUAAUUAAAAUAUAUAAAAAAUACUUAUUCAUGGUUGAAACACAAGUGAAAGACUAAUAAAAUUGUGUUGUAUAAUAACAAAUGAAGAAUUAGCAACCAGAAUGUAUAAAAAUUCCUAUCACUCACUGAGAAAGAAAUAAACAGAAAUGAGUUCAGUAGUCAAUUCACAUAAAUGAAAGGCAAACAAACAACAAAUAUGAAAAACAUGCUUAGCCACAUGAGUCAUGAUAGAAAAAAAUACUAUACCAGUUUAAAGAGUAAGAUAUUAUUUUUUACCCAAUAGGUUCCCCAAAAUUUAAAAGAUGGAUGAUAUAAAAAACAGACGAGAUAGAGAAUGCUUUUUCAGCAUCAAUUGAAAUGAUCAUAUGGUUUUUGUUUUUCAUUCUGUUGAUAUGAUGUAGCCCAUUGAUUGAGUUGUAUAUGUUGAACCACCCUUGUAAGUUCCACUUCCCAAUCACUUAUUUCUCUAAUGGAACAAGAGUUUUAUUGAACAAAGAUUAUUUUUCUCAGUGUGGUUUUCAUACCAGCAGCAUCAGUAUCACUCGGAACCCGUUAAAAUGCAGAUCCUCAGGCCCCAUCUCAGACCUACAGAAUCAGAAACUCUGGAGGGUACGAUCUACACUUGUGUUUCAACAAGUGAUUCUAAUGUAUGCCAAAGCUUGAGUGCCACUGGAUUGGAAAAUCAGAGGAGCAAUAAGGAACUGAAGUAGAAAAGAAGGAUAACUAUUUGAUUAGUAAAGUUAAGAAAAUGAAUGGAGCAGUAAAACAAAACUUUGUGGAAGAAAAAAAGGAAAUGUUAGAAUUUAGGAUGUUAGCAAUAAAGUAAUCUUGACUGAUGAUUAGAUUUAAAUUAUGGCUAUAAACAUAGUGGCUAAAUUGGAAUGGAGAUGGAAACCGUGGUUUUUGUAACGAUCAUAGGGGUAAGCCAGAGAAGGAAAACCAAGAAAACCAAGAGUAGUGUUGAAGUCACUGGGUUGGCAAAAAGAAUGACGAAUAGGCACAUGCUUCAGUAUUGAAGUUAUGGAGAAAUGUGGAGCGUUCCAUAGAUAUCAGCUAACUGUGACAAUGAAAGAUGCGUAUUCUGUUGUUGGAUGGUAUUUACUUAGAAAAGUCUGGAAUAUUUAACGAUGGGGUGGAGCAGGGUAUUAAUGAAGAGCAUGAGAGCACAUCCCCACAGAUCACAAGUCUAUAGAAAAGAGACAAGAGCCUACCAUUGGAAAGUUUUUGCACUAUUCUAUAAUAGCACUUUAUUUCACACAUUUUGCUUAUUUUUUAUCUAUUGAACAUCAGUAGUGGGGAACUACAUUUAACAUAUAAUGAAACACAUUAACCAAACAUAUGCCUUCUCUCAUACAUUGCUUCUGAUUCCCUGUAUCUUAGAUUUUUCAAUAGUUACAUGUUUAGGAGAAAAUUGUUUUUUUGUUUUUUGUUUUUAAGCUGAAAAGUUGAAUUAUUUUCACUAUUAAGUCUUGGCCUGCAAAACAUAGUGAAAUUACCAGAUGUAUCUUCAGGGAACCCCUUCUUCUUCCAUAUGUUGUAGAUCCUUGAUUUUUGUCUUUCUUUUUGUUUUUUGAGACGGAGUUUUGUUCUUGUUGCCCAGGCUGGAGUACAUUGGCUUCACUGCAACCUCCGUCUCCUGGGUUCCAGCAAUUUUCCUGCCUCAGCCUCCCUGGUAACUGGGAUUAUAGGUGCCUGCCACCAUGCCCGGCUACUUUUUGUAUUUUUAGUAGAGAUGGGAUUUCACCAUGUUGACUAGGCUGGCCUUGAACUCCUGACCUCAAGUAAUCUGCCUGCCUCGGCCUCCCAAAGUGCUGGGAUUACAGGCGUAAGCCACCACACCUGGCCCUGUCUUUCUAUACAUGUGUAAGUGGCCUCAUCAGAAUCCUCUAAUAAGAAUCCUUAUUAUUGACUUGGAGGAGGCUAAUAUUCUUCCCACUCUUCCUAGUUCUUAAAAAGAUGUCUUUUGGAACAAUGCUCUUUAUCCUUAAGAGUUGACAGUUCAUAAUGAAAACUUCAGUAGUCUAUAUGGUAGAACUUGAUCAAUCACCAAAUGAGAAGCAGUGAGUGAGUUGCAGCAAGGGGGUCGCACCCCUCUCCUAUCAAUGGGUUAGUGAACAGGACAUUCCAAUGUAUAAAACUCCACAAAAUGUCACAGUUCUAGAUAAAGUUCUCCAAAAUCAAAAACUGGCUGCAGCUGAUUGUAAAGAACUUUUUUAAAAGGGAGAACCACUACGUGGCUUCUUUGGUCAGAGAAUAUGGAGGCAAGCUUCCAAUGUUCACCAUGAACCAGUGUGUGUAAUGACUGCAACGAUCAACCCUGAAAUUAAAAAGUAAAUAAGCAAAACAUUUUAUAGGGUCAAACUCAAAAGGACUGUACUGUUCUCUGGAUAGAAAUAAGCCUGCAGGCUGCUAUUUUAAAAGAACCACAAAUUCUGCAUCUGUCCCAAAUGGGAAAUAAGAAUUUUAUUGAAUAAUAAAUUAAAAAUGAAUCCACUUCUUUUUAACUUAUAACUUAGUAAGUACUUAUGAUGUGGUCUUUGUAACCAGAGUGCAAUUCUUCAGUUAAUGAAUGAAAGAAGUGUGUGUAAGUUUAUGUGCACAAUUAUCCAAAAUGAAAGUGUAAAGGCAAAAUGAAAGAAAACUUAAUUUUUGAAUAAAUGACAAACCAAUGCCCUUCAGGGUUUCAAAUGUCUGGGUGAUGUUGACAUUUUUCCCAUAAGAUUUUUAGGCUUGUUAGGCAAAGAAGCACAGAGCAGCUUUCAGCCCCUCUCUAUCUCCAUUCACAAGAGGAAAAUGUAAGUCCAUUUAUAAAGGUCAUUUUCAGGUUACGCUGCUUUUGAUCAAAGACCAUGUGAAGACUUACAGAGUAAGACGUCAGUGUUAUAUGGUGAUUUAAGUAGGGAUCAAAAGAAAGCAAAGUUGAAUGUUUAUUCAGUAGGUAAUGUUUCAAAAUGUAUUUCAUAAUGAGGAUUUUUAACAGAAACACAUCAUUA
rnacentral:lncRNA from 10 species